CAGUGGGGAAGUAUUGGACAAUGGGCGAAAGCCUGAUCCAGCAAUGCCGCGUGUGUGAAGAAGGUCUUCGGGUUGUAAAGCACUUUCGACGGGGACGAUGAUGACGGUACCCGUAGAAGAAGCCCCGGCUAACUUCGUGCCA
rnacentral:rRNA from 1 species